CAAGGAAUAUCCACCCAAGUCUACACUUUUGAACUAGUCAUGUUCAGCGAUGCCGAACACUAGAUAUCUAACUGUUUUGUUCCGAUCAUGGAAUGACAUGUUGACUAGAUCGUCGGUGCUGGUAUUAGACUGCGACCAUUACACAAAAGUUGAUAAACAAGUAAAGAAGAAAGAAUUGCUAUCUAUGUAUAAGUCAUCAAUCAUUAGGUAAUAGAUGAAAAAGUAAAUGAAAUAAAAGAAAAUAAUAAUAACAAUAAAAUAGAGGGGAGGAAAGAUGCCGGCUAUCUGCUAGUUUUCGAUUUCAUGCCGACUUUGAAGCGAUGGGGAAACCAUUCCCUUAGCAAUUGAGGACUAUUUACAUUUCAAAAGCUCGAUAAAUGAAUUCAUUUGAUAAAUUUUACAAGGUGAUGAUGUUUGACAUUUUCGAUUAGGAGUGCAUUGUUAAUUGCCGAACAGGGGGAUUUUUUUGUAAACAGGAUCCGCCCAUAAGAUUAAGGCUUCCUCUUUUCCGAACGGAAGGGAAGUUUGAAGCAAACCUUGAUCCAAUAUAGCUUAUCAAUAUUAAACAAAGAUUAGCUCCAUGUGCCUAUGUUUAACGGCUAGCUAGUAUUGACCGAUUUUAAGAGUAGUUUAAGGCAAAUAGUGUAGGCGUCAUUCGGGCACGUUUCAGUGAUAAAAGCUAGCUAAAGCGGCAUGGAAAAGUGUAUUUCAAGUUUGAAUCACCUAAAAAAGCGGUUAUGGAUUCAUGAAGAUUUGGAUAAUUAUGGGGAGAGGCAAACACGGUUAGUAGGUUAUAGUAACAAGAUUGACAAAAAGGUAGCAUAUGCAAGGUUUAUUGCUUAAAUACCGUUAAGAAACCAAAAAUCGAAUGAUGGUCCCAACAUUGCGAUUUAAGAGGAAAAUGGAGUCAAUUCAUUGAACAGUCUAGUACUUUUUAAAAAAAAAAAAAAAAAAAAAAAAAUUUGAAAUAAAAAUAAAAAUAAAUAUAUGAAUGAAUUAAAUGAAUAAAAGGAGAG